UACGUAGGGGGGCUAGCGUUGUCCGGAAUCAUUGGGCGUAAAGAGCGUGUAGGCGGUCCGGUAAGUCCGCUGUGAAAGUCGGGGGGCUCAACCCUCGAAUGCCGGUGGAUACUGUCGGGCUAGAGUGCGGAAGAGGAGAGUGGAAUUCCUGGUGUAGCGGUGAAAUGCGCAGAUAUCAGGAAGAACACCCGUGGCUAAGGCGGCUCUCUAGUACGGUACUGACGCUGAGACGCGAAAGCGUGGGGAGCGAACAGG
rnacentral:rRNA from 1 species